GAGUGACAGGAGCUCUUUUAAGCUUGGCAAGCCACGCCGUUGCAUCCACUUGCCUGAAUGUGGCGUUUAUAAAGGACUUAGAACAUUUUGGGACGUACACAGAAGGUGGCCAUUUUGGCCUUAAACACAAUGUCCCCUUUUUUAUAUUUCGAUCUCCCUUUAAACAAAGAACCUGGGGAGAAGCCAAAAUCAUUACUUGUAAUGUGUCACCGACCAUAGGCAUGAACUGUGAACAAAGCAAAAGCAGCACUGUGACCGAAAACAGAAUAUUUUGGCAAGUAAUAGCGUCUGUUGUCUAAGAACGAUUCAAUUAUUGAGUUAACAAAUAAUUGAACAAUCUAAGUGAAAUGUCAAAUACAUAAAACAGAAGUAAUAAGAACAAUAGGUAUUAAUUGCAGAGGAUAGGUCAUAAAUCAUAUAAUAACUGCAUAGAAUAAGAAAAAAGAAAACACUUUUCCCAUAACACGGUGCAGUAUAAUGUGGACCUGAGCAAACAGCCCGCUCUGCUAGGGUUGAGGAGAAAUGUAAAAGCUUACAGCACCUGGUAUUCCCAGGCGGUCUCCCAUCCAAGUACUAACCAGGCCCGACCCUGCUUAGCUUCGGAGAUCAGACGAGAUCGGGCGUGCUCAGGGUGGUAUGGCCGUAAGCAAGAGCAGAGAGUGACAGGAGGACUUUUAAGCUUGGCAAGCCACGCCAUUGCAUCCACUUGCCUGAAUGUGGCGUUUAUAAAGGACUUAGAACAUUUUGGGACGUACACAGAAGGUGGCCAUUUUGGCCUUAAACACAAUAUCCCCUUUUUUGUAUUUCGCUCUCCCUUUAAACAAAACAACUAGAGAGAAGCCAAAAUCAUUACUUGUAAUGUGUCACCAACCAUAGGCAUGAACUGUGAACAAAGCAAAAGCAGCACUGUGACUGAAAACACAAUAUUUUAACAGGUAAUAGCGUCUGUUGUCUAAGAACGAUGCAAUUAUUGAGUUAACAAAUAAUUGAACAAUUUAGGUGAAAUGUCAAAUACAUAAAAUACAAGAAAUAAAAAACACAAGAUAAUAAUUGCA
rnacentral:lncRNA from 1 species